CAUUGGAAAAGACUUCCCAGUUCCGGACAGGUGUGUCUCUCAAGCUUCCCCCUUCUAACACCUCCCCAGGAGCUCUGCUCUGCUUAGAGUUCUCGCUGGCAGGCCUUCACUGUGAGGCUUCCACUCUCCCGAGUGCCUGGUCUGCAGAUGUUCCAAGCGCCUUGCCUCUUGGAAAUUAUUUGGGAAAACCUCUUCAUUAGAUACUUUCCUUAACAGAUACUCCGAUACUUAGCUAGACGCUGAGUGGCAGGUGGAAGAGGCCUUGGAAGCUGUCAAAAAUGCUACAAAUGAACAAGACCUUGCACAUCGCUUUAAAGAAUUUGUCAAAGAAAUGGUGAAACUCAACUAUGGAGCAGCAAGAAGACAACAGAGCUGAAGGACCCUCACUGUCGGAAUGAGAUGGCAGCCGCCCGAGGGGCUCUAAAGAAGAAUGCCACAAUGCUGUACACAGCCUCCCAAGCGUUUCUCUGCCACCCAGAUGUUGCUGCCACCAGAGCCAACCGAGAUUAUGUGUUUAAACAAGUCCAGGAAGCCAUUGCUGGCAUCUCCAAUGCUGCUCAAGCUACCUCGCCCACCGAUGAAGCCAAAGGCCACACAGGCAUCGGUGAGCUGGCUGCAGUUCUGAAUGAGUUUGAUUAAGCAGUAAACCCUGCCAGGACCUAGUAAUAGGAGUAGAAGCACUGAAUGCGGAGAACUCCCUGGAAGGACAGUCAGACCCUUCAGCUGCUGCCACCUUCUGCCCAAGCGUGAGGACUCCACCAUCCCAUUUUCUUUGUAUCCAGAACCUUCUCACUGAAAGGAGCUUUUACUAAAAAUGAAGUUCACAAUACAAAAGGCUUUGGACUCCUAAAAUAAAACUUAAGCCUGUGUGGGGAAA